GACAGAGGCCUCAAGCGUUAGGCGGAAUCACUGGGCUUAAAGCGCGUGUAGGCGGGAGGGCACGUCCGUCGCUGAAAUCCCCCGGCUCAACCGGGGAACGGGCGCGGAUACGACCUUCCUGGAGGGGCGUAGGGGGACCUGGAACUUCCGGUGGAGCGGUGAAAUGCGUUGAGAUCGGAAGGAACGCCCGUGGCGAAAGCGAGGUCCUGGACGCCUACUGACGCUGAGACGCGAAAGCCAGGGGAGCGAACGGG
rnacentral:rRNA from 1 species